rnacentral:rRNA from 1 species
GUCUAUGGCCAUGCCACCCUGAACAAGCCUGAUCCCAUCUGAUCUCGGAAGCUAAGCAGGGUUGGGCCUGGUAAGUACUUGGAUGGGAGACCACUUGGAAGCCCAGGUGCUGUAGGUG